UCUUUCUCUUCUUCUCUUUCAAAGAACGACGAAAUUUUCUUCUUCUUCUCCGAUCCGUCGCCACCGUGGCAAGCCUCCUCAUUGUGGCCGCCGUGGACAACAAUCUUGACGACUCACUUAGCUUCUCCGAUGAUGCGUUCGAUUUCAUCUUCUUCGGUUUGGCAGCGCUCGCCGCCGUCUCAAAAUCGCAAGCCCUAG